rnacentral:lncRNA from 1 species
CCCAGCCCUUCCUCCAGGGGCUGUGUACUGAACUCCUCUGUAAAUCCUGCCUGCCCUCAGCCUUUUCCUCCCUCCCCACUUCUCCCCACCUUUCCCCAGCGGGAAUUGCUCCACCUUCCAGCUCCUCUUCCACUGUGCAAACCUGCACUUGCCCUUCCCUCCAUCCCUUCACACUUGGUCCUGCCUGCCUAGUCUUCGCUCCUCUCCCAAUCCCUAAAAUGCCCUCUCCUGCUUCCUCCCAAGAAGACAGUGCCUGAGGAACCCCCAGAGCCUCCCUGAGCAACCUGGGUAAGAGCUGAAGGCCUUAUCUACGUCUGCUCUGGUGCGAGUCCUCGAAUAGUGUGUGAUGGAGACACCUACUGGCUGCUCUGAGCACAGGCCCCUGGAAACCCAGGAACGUGGCUCAGGGCCCCCAUUCCACCGAGAGCCUGGUUUACAACUCCUCAUCCAAGGCUGGCACCACUUGAUGCAGAGAAAUGAGGCCCCCAUUCUGGUUAAUUGCCAUCAUUUGCCGGUUCAAAUAAUGAGCGACAAGUUGGAUGCAGAAGAGGGGACAGCCGCUUCGUAGGAAAUCACUAACCUAAAAGACAGCAAAGGAGAUUGUUCCUCAGAUGUGCUGCCAAAGACUGGGGGCCACCAUGGCCAGCAAGACCCCUAUCAGCGGAGGGAAGGACAUUUGGGCUGGGCCCGGCCAUGCAUAGUUGUGGUGGACAGCUGUCUCUACCAGAACCAACUCCCAUUGGAUUUGUUCUUCUGAAUGGGGGCCGCAUUCCCCAUUAAACUAACUAAGAAAUAUUUCUGAAUCCACAGAUGUGGCAUGUACAGUGUGGAGGUUUUAGGGAAUAGCAAGAAGCUUAAAUAGAUCACCAUCUCUCUCCAAUGUGGGAGGAUGAUCCCUCACUUUAAAAUACGCUCUCUAGUUAUUCCAGUGAGUAUAUUCACAUAAGGCAAGUACUUUACAAACUUAAUAAGCAGUGUUUACAGAAGAUCUAAAACACACAGAAGUCUUUCAGACAUUUGAAGAGUGAAGAAGAGCUAAAGAAAUGAAAAACAUUAGCCAGGCAUGGUGGCUCAGGCCUGCAAUCCCAGAGCUUUGAGAGGCUGAAAUGGGAGGAUCACUUGAGCCCAGGAGUUUGAGGCCGGCCUGGACAACACAGUGAGACCCCAUCUCUACAGAAACAUUUUUAAAAUAGCUGGGCAUGGUUGCUCACACCUACAGUCCCCGCUACUUGGAAGGCUAAGGAGGGAGGAUUGCUUGAGCCCAGGAAUUCAACAACAGUGCACCCUGAUCACUCCACUGCGCUCCAGCCUGGGCAACAGAUUGAGACCUUAUCUCUUUAAAAAAAUUAACUGAACAAAGAUGCAAAGCUAAGGAGUGAUACAGUCUAUUAAGAUCAGUUUGAUACCAGAGUGUCCUCAAGACAAUUGGAUGAACGUUCCCAAUUAAUUGGUGCCGACAUGUCCUAAAGAUAAGAAAGGUCACCAUGGAAACCCUGAAGGCUUCUGGGAAGAAGAGGGAUUUAAAAGGGUCCUAACAGGUAAAUAGGUUUUGAUGGGCAGAAAUAAGGAGGGCAGGAUGCCAAGUGAGGAAGAGGCGAACAGUGCAAGGAAGUGUACCCAUUUGGUUGGAACAGGAAGUAAAGCCCGUGAUGAUGAUGGCCUCCUGAAGGGGGAUUGUGGCCAGUUUGCAAUGGGCUUUGAAGCUCCAGCGAAUGAGUCAGGGCUUCCUCCUCCGGGUGUCACGAGAGAGCCAUCGAAAAUUGUUAAAGAGGGGUGAAUAGGAUUAGAGCAAUGCGUCUGGUAGUUUGCAGAAAAGAUGAGAGUCAGGAACAGUGGUUGAGAAACUGAUGGAGCGGUACCAGGGUGGCAAAAACAACAGGACCGCGUGACCGGGUGGCACAAAAUGCAGAUGCCCAUGGGACAGGGGUGUGACCAGUUAGUGUGGAGGAGCAGGCUGAUUGAAUCCUUCCUCCUUAGUGCUUUUGAUGGGGUGAAAUUUCAAAGACCAUCUUUCCAAAGACCAUCUUUUUAAAGAUCAUCUGAGGAUGAUCAGUAAAAAUCUCAAUUUAGGGGCUGGGCACAGUGGCUCACGCCUGCAAUCCCAACACUUUGGGAGACCCAGAUGGUUGAAUCACUUGAGAUCAGGAGUUCCAGACCAGCCUCACCAACACGGCGAAACCCCGU